CUUGCUAGCUGCAAGGGGGGCUGGGAAAUGUAGUCUGUGGCUAGGCAGCCGCUUCCCAGUGACAACUGCACACGGAGGAGGGGGAGCAUGAGUGUUCAGUCGACAGGUGGCCAUCUUUGCCCCAGCUGGGAGCGGGCCUGAAGCAGGAAAUGCCCUGUCUCCAGCAGGUUCUAGGAACACGCUCCCACAAAAGGACACCACUGGCACCGACGCCUUCUCCAGUCUGGGUUUUGCCUCCCAGAGGCCCGAGGCCACGCUGCUGACACCGGAGCCCCGCCUGGAUGCCUGGCUCCGGAAGACGGAGGAAGAGGCGGGGCCGGGCCCGGGCCUGCUCCCGGGUCUCCACUCAGACUGGCCACAUUGCAGUCGCUGCACACGGCAGGUGGCCCCCAAGUUGGACAGCUCAGGCCUAACCCAACCCUGAGCCCCAGCCCUUAACCCUAAAAGCUGCCUGAGUAACUACAAGGCUCUGGUUGGCUCCAGAGGAGCAUCCUGGGAGAAUUGGCCAGCAGAUGCUGGAUUCCCUCACCUGGAGGCCUGACCUCACUUGCAGACGGCCCCUCCUCCAUCUGUGCCUUGUGACUGGGCAAGGCAGCCCAGCCCACCUGUCCGUGGCUUCAAACACUAUCCCCUUCUGCUCAGAGACGCUCACAGGACGUGUGUGCGUGUGGGCGCUGGGCCUGGCCAGGUCUUUCAGCAGGAUUUCAUCAGGGUUGAGGAGGCCCCUCCCCCUGGAAGGCUGGAGCUGUGCUCUGCCUGAGGUUGCUGUUUCACGCUGGAACCACUCGUGGGCAACAGAAAGCCAGCCUGAGCCAACUGACCACAGAGCCAGAAAGUCACCUGGGUGACCAGCUGGUGCAGCCUGCUCAUGGUACAGUUGCAGGUCCUUCUAGUUGUGGGAUGUGGGACGCCGCCUCAACGUGGCCUGACGAGCGGUGCCAUGUCUGCGCCCACAUGUCUGGGCCGCCGCAGCGGAGCACGCGAACUUAACCACUCGGCCACGGAGCCGGCCCCCGAGAUUUUUUAAUGAGUGAAAACUCUCUCCUUCAUCUCAUUGUCUAAUAUUAACAGUUUAGUGCAUCAUUCCAGACAUUUCUGUGGGUCUGUGAACUAUGCAAAUAUUUGCAUGAUUUUUUUGUACAAACAAAAUCAUAACCUACAGACUGUUCUGCAACAUACACGCCCUUCCAAGUC
rnacentral:lncRNA from 1 species